GAUGAACGCUGGCGGCGUGCCUAAUACAUGCAAGUCGAGCGAACGGACGAGAAGCUUGCUUCUCUGAUGUUAGCGGCGGACGGGUGAGUAACACGUGGAUAACCUACCUAUAAGACUGGGAUAACUUCGGGAAACCGGAGCUAAUACCGGAUAAUAUUUUGAACCGCAUGGUUCAAAAGUGAAAGACGGUCUUGCUGUCACUUAUAGAUGGAUCCGCGCUGCAUUAGCUAGUUGGUAAGGUAACGGCUUACCAAGGCAACGAUGCAUAGCCGACCUGAGAGGGUGAUCGGCCACACUGGAACUGAGACACGGUCCAGACUCCUACGGGAGGCAGCAGUAGGGAAUCUUCCGCAAUGGGCGAAAGCCUGACGGAGCAACGCCGCGUGAGUGAUGAAGGUCUUCGGAUCGUAAAACUCUGUUAUUAGGGAAGAACAUAUGUGUAAGUAACUGUGCACAUCUUGACGGUACCUAAUCAGAAAGCCACGGCUAACUACGUGCCAGCAGCCGCGGUAAUACGUAGGUGGCAAGCGUUAUCCGGAAUUAUUGGGCGUAAAGCGCGCGUAGGCGGUUUUUUAAGUCUGAUGUGAAAGCCCACGGCUCAACCGUGGAGGGUCAUUGGAAACUGGAAAACUUGAGUGCAGAAGAGGAAAGUGGAAUUCCAUGUGUAGCGGUGAAAUGCGCAGAGAUAUGGAGGAACACCAGUGGCGAAGGCGACUUUCUGGUCUGUAACUGACGCUGAUGUGCGAAAGCGUGGGGAUCAAACAGGAUUAGAUACCCUGGUAGUCCACGCCGUAAACGAUGAGUGCUAAGUGUUAGGGGGUUUCCGCCCCUUAGUGCUGCAGCUAACGCAUUAAGCACUCCGCCUGGGGAGUACGACCGCAAGGUUGAAACUCAAAGGAAUUGACGGGGACCCGCACAAGCGGUGGAGCAUGUGGUUUAAUUCGAAGCAACGCGAAGAACCUUACCAAAUCUUGACAUCCUUUGACAACUCUAGAGAUAGAGCUUUCCCCUUCGGGGGACAAAGUGACAGGUGGUGCAUGGUUGUCGUCAGCUCGUGUCGUGAGAUGUUGGGUUAAGUCCCGCAACGAGCGCAACCCUUAAGCUUACUUGCCAUCAUUAAGUUGGGCACUCUAAGUUGACUGCCGGUGACAAACCGGAGGAAGGUGGGGAUGACGUCAAAUCAUCAUGCCCCUUAUGAUUUGGGCUACACACGUGCUACAAUGGACAAUACAAAGGGCAGCGAAACCGCGAGGUCAAGCAAAUCCCAUAAAGUUGUUCUCAGUUCGGAUUGUAGUCUGCAACUCGACUACAUGAAGCUGGAAUCGCUAGUAAUCGUAGAUCAGCAUGCUGCGGUGAAUACGUUCCCGGGUCU
rnacentral:rRNA from 1 species